rnacentral:rRNA from 1 species
ACUGGGACAACUGGCCGAAAGGCUUGCUAAUACCAGAUAAGCCCACGGCGUCCUUGGACGCUGAGGGAAAAGGUGGCCUCUGCAUGCAAGCUAUCGCAGGGAGAUGAGUCCGCGGCCCAUCAGCUAGUUGGCGGGGUAAAAGCCCACCAAGGCUACGACGGGUAGCUGGUCUGAGAGGAUGAUCAGCCACACUGGAACUGAGACACGGUCCAG